AUUGGUGGAUGAAAUUAUUGAAAUAUUACCAUUUUAUGUAUUUAUUUGUUUAUUUAUUUGAGGGUGUGUGUAGUGCAACGAACUUUAUAAUGGGAUGGAUUAUUCAGAUGUUCUCAUGAUGUGCACCCAAAGGAUGGCUGCCCCUCUUUUGGUACCAAGUUUUUAAAUUCAUUAAUAAUAACACUUUCAUGAGGUUGUACAGUGGGGUACAGAAAUAAUUCGAAUUUUUUUCAAAGUGAAUCAGUGUUAGAAAUCACUGAACUUCAAAAAGCUCCAGCAGUGUCAAAAAUGAAUGCAUUUUUGAGCCGUAAAAUGCAUUGCGAAGAUAGUAGAAUCUAGUUUCAUGGUGUAACAAGUUUGCAUUAUAAAGUUGUGAAAAUAUACAUCAAGAGAGCUUUUUGUUACAUACUAUCUACCAUCUCGUACUACCACCCCAGCUGCAAUCACCGCUUGCAUCCUAUAAGGCAUAGUGGAAAUCAAUGUACGAAGCCACUCUAUAGAUAUGGUAUCCCAUACGGAUUGAAUUUUUUCUAUCAUUUCUAGCUUACUAUUAGGUCUACUAUGAUGUUUGAGCAAAUCUUUUACAACCAUCCAAACGUUCUCUAUUGGAUUCAAGUCCGGUGAAUUGGCAGGCCAAAACAACUUUUCUAUACCAUGAGCACGUCUCCAUUGCAGUGGCAAUGAGCUACGGUGGACUGGAGCGCCAUCCUCCAUCAAUAUCAAUUGCUCAGGGUCAUCAUGUAAGAAAUAAAAGCCACUUAAUACUCCUUCAUAAACAAUAGUGACAAAAUCCCUUGCUGAUCUCUUAUCUAAAGGAAUGAUGACCAAUGGAGACUUAUCAAAGCCAGUAAAGGCACCCCAAACCAUCACUGAACUACGUCCAGACUUAAAACUUGGUGCUAUACAAUCCCAAUUAUAUUUUUCAUACACCUUCCGCCACACUCUAAUUUGCCGUGGAUUUUUGCCAGUUUCGAAUGACGACUCAUCCGUCCAAAUAAUAUUACACCAAUCUUCAAACGUCCAACUCUCAUAAGCACGUGCAAAUGCAAGCCUAUCUGCUUUAUGUUUGACAUUCAAAUAGAGCUUUUUAGGUGCUAUACAAUUUCU
rnacentral:lncRNA from 1 species